GAUGUAGGGCGCGAGCGUUGUCCGGAUUUAUUGGGCGUAAAGAGCUCGUAGGCGGUGUGUCACGUCGGCCGUGAAAACCUGCAGCUUAACUGUGGGCGUGCGGGCGAUACGGGCAGACUGGAGUACUGCAAGGGAGACUGGAAUUCCUGGUGUAGCGGUGGAAUGCGCAGAUAUCAGGAGGAACACCGGUGGCGAAGGCGGGUCUCUGGGCAGUAACUGACGCUGAGGAGCGAAAGCGUGGGGAGCGAACAGG
rnacentral:rRNA from 1 species